rnacentral:rRNA from 1 species
AAUGAACGCUGGCGGCAUGCCUUACACAUGCAAGUCGAACGGCAGCAUGACCUAGCUUGCUAGGUUGAUGGCGAGUGGCGAACGGGUGAGUAAUGCAUCGGAACGUGCCUUUUAGUGGGGGAUAACGUAGCGAGAGUUACGCUAAUACCGCAUAUUCUCUGAGGAGGAAAGCAGGGGACCUUCGGGCCUUGCGCUAGAAGAGCGGCCGAUGUCGGAUUAGCUAGUUGGUGAGGUAAAGGCUCACCAAGGCAACGAUCCGUAGCGGGUCUGAGAGGAUGAUCCGCCACACUGGGACUGAGACACGGCCCAGACUCCUACGGGAGGCAGCAGUGGGGAAUUUUGGACAAUGGGCGCAAGCCUGAUCCAGCCAUGCCGCGUGAGUGAAGAAGGCCUUCGGGUUGUAAAGCUCUUUCGGCUGGGAAGAAAUCGCACCCUCUAAUACAGGGUGUGGAUGACGGUACCAGCAUAAGAAGCACCGGCUAACUACGUG